rnacentral:rRNA from 1 species
CCUACGGGGCGCACCAGUGGGGAAUAUUGCACAAUGGGCGCAAGCCUGAUGCAGCCAUGCCGUGUGUGUGAAGAAGGCCUUCGGGUUGUAAAGCACUUUCAGCGAGGAGGAGGGUGGUGAGCUUAAUACGCUCAUCAAUUGACGUUACUCGCAGAAGAAGCACCGGCUAACUCCGUGCCAGCAGCCGCGGUAAUACGGAGGGUGCAAGCGUUAAUCGGAAUUACUGGGCGUAAAGCGCACGCAGGCGGUUUGUUAAGUCAGAUGUGAAAUCCCCGGGCUCAACCUGGGAACUGCAUUUGAAACUGGCAAGCUAGAGUCUCGUAGAGGGGGGUAGAAUUCCAGGUGUAGCGGUGAAAUGCGUAGAGAUCUGGAGGAAUACCGGUGGCGAAGGCGGCCCCCUGGACGGAGACUGACGCUCAGGUGCGAAAGCGUGGGGAGCAAACAGGAUUAGAUACCCCCGUAGUC